AAUUUACAGUGCUUACAUAAUUUAAAUAUUAUGUACUUUACUGUAAUGUUAUUUUCUUCGAUUAGGCAUAUUUAGUGAGAUAAAAUAGUUUAAUUAUAGCACAUAAGCAAUCAAUCAUCAUGAUGUAAAAAAAAACUUACUGUAAUUACAAACAUAUUAAAGAAUGGAAGAUCUAAAAUUCUCGAUUUCUUAUGUUCUAAUUGCUAUGUUUAUGUUAUGUUGCACUAGCUUUUCAUUGAAGGAAUUAGUUUCCUCGCGAUGGGAACCCGUAUACAUCCGCGAAGAAAUUCAAAGGUGUAUAUGAAGACCCUAACCGGCAUUGACCCAUCGUGGGGACUAUAGCCAAAGCCCUCUUAAGCAUAAGAGGGGGGGCUUAAAUAGGCUGAAUUAUAAUAUAUUAUAUUUAAAACUAUAUCAUACAAGUUCCAAAAUGAAAUUAAAUGGUAAAUUUUUUAGUGGCAUACAGAAUAUUGAAACAAUAAAGGUAAGUAUUUUAAACAUUCAAGGUUGGCGUUGGUGACGUCAAGUAUUUACUUCUAGUACUAAAUCAUUUCGAAUACCUUGAUAAAAACAUUUUGGAUCCGUUUGCAUUUUUAAUAACUUUUAUUUUCAUUCUUACAUGAAAUAGGAUAGAUUGACACCAUGAACAAAAACUUAUCUUGAGUCAUGUUAUAUCAGGAUUCUUCACAUACGUGUUAACGCAUUUUGUGAAUAAGUAGAGGGUAGGAUGUCCUGGGGCCCAUUUCUCGAACGGUAUUAGUCUAAUAUUAUUAGUGUGUUACCAUGGUAACUCAUACGAUUUGACAGUUCGUGAACUAAUAAUAUCAAACUAAUACCGUUCGAGAAAUGGCCCUGGCUAAUAGGCCAGAUUAGCGCCUAACAAGGCGCUCAACUUCGUUCAGUGCAUCCGACGCUAUAGCCUAAGCAAGACGUGACUCGUGGUUUACAAUGAAGCUCUCACAUGUGCUACUCGUAAUAGUUAUUUUUGGAGUCUGCAUCAAUGCAUUUCCACACACGAACUAUAGAUCAUCAUUAACAAAAUGUCCUAUAGGGCAAUAUGAAAUAUUUAAAAACGGAAUUGUUAUGUGUGUUGUGUGUUCAAAAAUCAGGAAUCAUCCGUGCGGUCAUUUCAAGAAUCACAUUCACCAUCGUCGCAACGCUAAGAAAAUCAAUUUAAAAUAAGACAAGAAGGUGCUGCCAACUUACAUGACAGCCUCGUAUCACCAUUGGCUCACCCUUAUCCCAUCCACUUGGGGUGCAGCAUGUCUUUUUCUUCCAAACCUCUUUACAGCCCGUCAACUCAUCAUCAAUAAUGAUAUAUAAAUAGAUUAUGCUAACAUAAAUAAAAACCGGCCAAGAGCAUGUCGGGCCACGCUCAGUGUAGGGUUCCGUAGUUACUCUUCCGUCACAAUAAGCUAAACUGGAGUUUAAAGUAUAGUAAAUUGUUAACCAAGGGAUGAAACGGUACCUUUCACGCGAGUUAAACAAAUAGGCAAAUUUGCAUAAUCAGUACCUAAAGUAAGUCUUAUUACUAUGGGAGAAACUUUUUGCGAUAACUCAAAAAUAGCUAAACUGAUCAUGUCCGCUAUAGUUUUCAUUUAAUGUCUUUCUUAAGCUCUACUUCCACGAUUUUUUUCAUAUUUUUUGGACCUAUGGUUCAAAAGUUAGAGGGGGGGGGGACACUUUUUUUUUCUCUUUCGGAGCGAUUAUCUCCGAAUAUAUUCACUUAAUCAAAAUGUUUGUUGCAGACCCCCAUUAGUUUUGAAAGACUUUCCAACGAUACCCCACACUGUAGGGUUGAAGCAAAAAAUUCACCCCCACUUUACGUAUAGGGGAGGUACCCUCAAAAAAAUUUAAUUUUUAUAUUUUAUUGUACGACUUUGUCGGCUUUAUUGAUUUAUAUAUCCAUGGCGAAUUUCAGCUUUCUAGCACUAACGACCACGGAGCAAAGCCUCGGACAGACAGACAGACAGACAGACAGACGGACAUGGCGAAACUAUAAGGGUUCCUAGUUGACUACGGAACCCUAAAAGGAGGAGUCACGAUUUUACGAAAUUUCUAGACCUGGAUAACGCCUUCAACAAGUGUUACGGAAGGAAGUCGACUACACUACGCAUUCCACUAUCAGGGGACUAGGUCUACAUUAGCAACACCCACCAACAGAUCCCAUAAAAAUUGCCAUGAAUUACCAUUGCGUCUAUGUGAGUAUAAACAUAUAAAUGUAUUUGCAUUUUAGAUCUAAUAUGAAUCAUAAUCAUGGGUUUUUCAAUUAAAAUGCAAACCAAGUAUCCAAGUCGGUUGAAUCAUAUCCAAAUUUAAGCAUCGAUGAGUAUGGAUGAAUGGUGAAAUUUAAAUUGCAAGAAUUAAGAAUAUUUUGCAUUGGGCUGGCCACCUAGAAGAAUACCGGAGUUAAGGGUGACUAAAAUAAUACCCCAACAAAAGAAAAUACAAGGCAAGCCAAGAAAACGGCGGAUAGACUGCGUGGAAGAGGAUCUUCGAAAAAUGGUACACAAAUUGGAGGCAACAUUGGAAGAAACAAGUAGGGCUGCCAUCCGUCCGGGUUUUCCCGGAUUUGUCCUAGUUUGGAGGCCGUCCGGGGGGGUGUCAAGAAGUGUCCGGGGAAAACCCGGACACUUUUCAUGUAAGGAAGCGCAUUAAAACUACAUGUAAAAUUAAAGGUCUUGUUUUAAAAAAAUAUUAUUUCCGGACUCGUCCGGGGAAAAAAUGCUAUUUACGACAAAUGUCCGGGUUUUUUUGAAUCUUUGUCCGGGUUUGGCGAAAUUCGAGAUGGCAGCCCUAGAGGCAAGGGACCGGAGCAUUGCUCACGCACUGCUUACAGUGCGUGAGCUCUUUCAUUCGGGUUGUAUUUAUAUCUCUUAUAGUAGAUAGACUUAUAUCACUUAUAUCGGCAAUGUCUCGCGAAUGUAAUAGGUACUAUUAUUCCGAUUUCAUUAUAACUCAGAAUACUUUUUAUCGUACUGUAAAAAGUUAAGUAAGAAUAAUCAACAAUGUAAAAUAGCCCAAACUGUAAUAUCUGUGGUAAUAGUAUCCGAAAUCAAUGUAUCAGUA